AUCUUAGCAGCACAAAUGGAAUAGAUUUAAUUUAACGGCUGCAGUAGCACGUGAAAUCAUUUGAGAAGAGUUUAUAGUCAUGGUUUGCUGUGGUGAGGAUGCCUACAGAGAGCUACUCACUGUCCAAACAGCACAAAUGCAUCGUUUUUAAAGCCGUAAUAUUUACCUUUUUAAAAGUAAACUCAUCUUGACUGGAACAUGGUUCAAGUGAUUUCAGUGUAUGAAAUCAUCUAGAGGCAAAUAAAAAAAUGGUGGAUUUUCCUGAUUUGGAGAAAGUGAAUAAUCCAGCUUAGCGUCACGAAAUGAGAGUGUUGCCCCGCCGGAGGCCUGAAGCUGAGAACAUUCGUCCAGCGUUAACAUGCAAAGCAGCCCGGCAUGCUGGGUAAAGCCUCCAUUUCCAAUGCGAUUUCCCUUUUACUGCGACAAAGUUCCUCCUCAGUUGCAGCAAUGCUCCGUGUCACCUGUCCCAAGGCAGCCAGCGUGGCUUCAGGCUCUGGAAAAUGGAUGAAUAGAUGGACAGUGGAGGAUGAGAACCAAAAACGCUGUAAUAUGAAGUUAUCCAGUACAGGGUCACAAGAGGGUCUGGAACCUAUCCCAGCUCAUCGAGCACAGGAGGGAUCUCUGCUCUCCACAGACACCGGGAGAAGGUGUGAUCUAAACCCCCAGCCCAAGAGAUGCCAGUACGGGCGUGACGGAGAGUAAACGCUGACUCAGGGCAGGUAAUAAAUUGUAAAAUAAAUCAAAGGACGCGGAGAGCAGACUUGAUAAAAUCCAGCGACAGCUGAGUGAUAAAUUGGACGUCGUCAGCGGCGCGCGGCGGCUGCUGGGAGGUUAUUGUUGUGUACUUAUCCGGUCCCAGCCAUUCAUCACGGACACAGCCGCGGCUCAGAUGUGUGCCGGCUUCCAGCGUGGCAGAUAGUGGCGGCCGGCGAGGUCUGGGAGGGCGGAGGCUGCAGCCAAGGCCCUGAAUUGCUUUCUGGGCCAGGAUGACUCUCUUAUCUGGAGGAACCGACCGCUUGUGGCUCAGGGAGCAGGUGACUUUCUUUGCAGCAGAGUGGAAACUUAUGCUUACGAGCUGUUUUGCGCUUUUAAUUUCUCGUGCUGGGAAGUGGGGAGGAUCCGGAACGUUUACCGAGAUGCACUAUUUUUAUGCAUGUGGUGCUGUAAGUUACAUCACGGUGCCAGCCAGAAUUUCAUUAUGCAUUCAUAUUGCUGGCUGCUUUCUGUAGUACAGUUCGUUUAGACCGUAUCUGAUAAAUUGGAAGUAUCAUGUUUAUGUUGUGAGCACAGAGGAGUAUUUCAUUUAGUGAUUCAGGUCAGGAAUCUAGCUGUAGGGCAGAAAGGCAAAAACACACUGCAACAUGCCCACCUGCCCCCCAUCCUCCCCCAGGGCAUUAUGGGAAAGAUAAAUUCUGCCAGCGGGUCCAUCACUGUCCUGUCUCCCCCUUAUCUACUGCUGCUACAUGGAUAGUGCUGUCAGUGCUGGUUCUGACUUUAACAGCAACAUGCCAGUCAAUUUACACAUCAAACUGAAACCCCUCCCAUGUAAAGAACAUCAUUAGUGUCAUGUUGCCAGAUUAGGCACAUUAGUCUCCUCCGACCCAUGAUUCUGGGUCCUUCUGGGUCCCCGUUCGGGCUUCCACAGUGACUCCCGCGUGACUUUAGGAGAAUUUAGGAGAAAUUAGGAGAAGCCGGGGUAAAGGGACGGAAAGCCAUGUUGUGGGCCUUGUCCGCGGAAAAUACCAACAAGUCAAAAUGCACGUGCAGCUCCGCUUCGCUUUCCGUGAUGGGGGGACAAAAAAAGACGGAAAUAUACAGAAUCACGGAGGGUGAGGAGACUAUUACCGAAUUUCCAUAUGAAAAGCUACAGUCACGUCAGUCUUUCUUCUCUUAGAUGAAGCACAACCAUGUUCCCCCCCAAAAGGUAAUUUCAGACAAAGUUUUUCAUACAUAACUAAUUUGUUCAGAAAAUAAAUGAAUGGAGGGAAAAAAAAACUGUCCUGAAGCCUGGGUUCCAGAUCCAGAGCUAAAUUGGAACAUCGAGUUUGAAGUGAGUAAAUGGCCUUUCUGAGGGAGUCCGCUGUGCAUCCGCUACCCUAAGCUGCCGUCUUUGGGAAUUAGAGGGGUUUAGCGCUAUCUUCAUAGAACAGUCAUGGCACAAACAUAUAAGCCCAUGUCUUUAGCCUGGCCUGCCAAAAUGCAGCUCCCAUAAUCCUUUAUACUCUCACUCUUCCUUAUUCUCUCUCUGGGCUGGGAUGGUCAGCGCCGGCCCAGGUGGAGGAGAUGCGGCGAAGCCAGGAAGCCGUUGUUCCGGCGCGUCUGUGCCGUAGUUCCUAAUGGCCACAAAGACCCCCCACCUCCACCAGAAAAGGGCCCAGAUCCCGGCUGCGGACAUAGCCUUCCUCUGCCCCCAAUGCUCCUCUGUCACUCCAUGUCUGUUUUACCUCCCGCUGACCCUGAAAUGGCUAUCAUUUGUUUUCAAUUCCUCCUGCCGGUUUUGCUACACCUGUCUCUGCUCCCAUCCCAAAAUACAGGACCCCCCCACGAUGGCUGGGCCAGUCCAGGAAUGGUGCUGAGAGGGACUCCAUCAGUCACUGUUUGUAACCUGUAAUCGCCCUGAUUGGGGGCCUGUAACGCACUUGGAGUGGAUGUUCACGCUGCACUCGGCUCCACCCAUGGACCUCUAAGUGUUUUCACAUCAGCAGAAGACAGGAACCAGCUAUCCCCCCCCCCCACACACACAAAUAGCCAGUCUGCACUGUCCUGGUGUGAUUAGGAGGUUUUUAAGGUGAGGUGGCUGACCUUGUUAUUAGCCAAUUAUAUGUUUUGAAUCGGUAACUGACAGGGGAGCAGGUACUCCAAGGACCAAUCAGCUAUCAGCUGUACCGCAGCCCUGUCUCUGUCCCCUCCUCCUUUUCUUAAUGCUCCCACUGUAGAUACUUCUUUGAACCUUUUAGUGUCUCUGUCCUUAUGCUGUUUUGGGCAGCAGCUAUCAAUGCAGUUAAAGAGCUAGAUGAGGUAAUACGAAGGUAUGAAGGAGCUUUGAAGGUUGACGGUCUGGGGGGGACAGGGGGGGCCCCCUUGUGCCUCUGAACACUGGAUUGAAACUGGAUAGAAAAGUUGCUGCAUGGCAUUGUCAGCCAAGCAACAAAAGUGUGAUGUUAAUGCAAUCUUUACCCGUCACUGUUUAAAUGUAAACUGCAGCUAUUCCAUCUGACCCAGACGGUGGGUCAGAGCAGGGAUCCGCUCUCCUGCUUCGGGGUCCCGCAUCUUGAACACCUGGGGGGAAGCCCAGGUGAUAACACUGGAGAGAGACCCGCAGUGUGUGCUAUUCCAUGGUGAUGUCAUUUGCCUUGGUUGAGUGUUUGAGGCAGGAUAUAAGAGCAUAAUAGAUCACGACCAGAAGGGGGCAGCGUGGUGGUGAUUACGGCUUCGCUACGAUUGAUUUAUCAUCACGCAGUCCUCCUUUAUUUGUUCGAUUACGGCUUUCAUACUGCGGACCAGCUCACGGCCGGGAGUUAAGCAUUCACCACACUGGAAUUCAGAUAUGGCUCUGGGUCGGGGGCUGAGAUCGGACCGGCACCUCGGAGGGGUCCAACGUGAGCCUUUUGCUACGUGACAGCAAACACCCUUCAGAACCAUAC